ACCUCUGCUCCUCCUCCUUUGCCCUUUGGGCUUUUCCCACCUCUUUUCUGAGGUGUAGGUUUUUCUGGUGGGGCGGCUUCCUCUCUGUCACUUGCUUUCUUCUGGGGCUGAGAGGCUUGAACUUCCCCUGUGUCAAUAGGAAGAGAGGGCAGCAUACAGGCAGGAGGAAUCUCUCUCCCAUACACUUUCUCACAAAUUUCUUUUUAAAAAAACAUGUUUCUUUCUGAAUGAAAUACACAGAGAUACUUGUCCCUUCCAGGGUAGCAGUUCUUCCAAUCAUCCAAAGAGUAGUGCAGUGAAUUUUGCACAACAACAGUAAUUACAGGUUGAAGAUAUUUGAAAAGGGGGCCAUACUUAACCCCUGAGGUCUUCUGUCUUUGUAUGACAGUAUCACAAAUGCAAGCAUCCAAUGGUGUCUAUUGCUUGCAAUAGUGCAACAUUGAGCUCAAUGAUACCUACCUUUUAUAUUUGUAUGAGGAAAUCCAGCCAGCUAUAUAGCUCAGUGGUUUAGGUCUCUGGCUGCAGAGCCAGAGGUUGGGAGUUCAAUUCCCCACUGUGCCUCCUGUGAACAGAGCCAGCCUGCAUGGUCUUGGGUGAUCUGCACAGUCCCAGAAUGCCCGCAGAAGAAGGGAAUGGUAAAACACAUCUGAGUGUUCUGUACCUGGAAAAGCCUGAAAAGGUUCAUCAUAAGUCAGAAUUGACUUGGCAGUACAAAAUUAUCAUUAUUGGGGGAGCCAACCUAGUUUCCAGUUGUGCAACCAGCUCUACAACUAAGUUUGCAGCCUGCUCAACCAGUGAUAUAAAAUGAGUAGCAUGCCUAAGGUGGAGCAUAUAGUGGCAAAGACAGAAGAAACUGAAUGUCUUCAAUUUUCCAAGAAAGCAGUUCAAUAAUAUGCCUUCCCAGACACUACGCACCCCAUCAAAAUACUUUAGGUAAUACAGGAUGAGUCCUCAAAUAUAUUACUGUAAAAACUGCUCUUCCUCCAGUUGUAUUGUGAGGAGCUGUGUGCUGCCAGUUAUUGUGGCCAGGAAGUUCCUUAAUGUUCCCAUGGCUUUUAAUAAACAAACUGCUGAUAACGAUCGGACGUACUGCAUCUUGUUCCUUUCAGCUCUAAGUCUUGCAUUAACUUGGACAAAAUGGAACUAUGUCCAGCCGGUCCCAGACACUGAAGAACUGGAUGGCUUAUGCAAAACAAGAUUUUCCACAAACUCUGCCCAAUAGAAGAUUGUGAACAUGAUUUGGAUGCCUGUUUAUUCUGCUGUUGAGGUGCUGUUAAUGACAUUUUCAAGGGUACUACCAAAUUUUUUUUAAUUCUUUGGCUACAUUUGAACUGGACAGUCCUAUGAAUGGACAAGAUCUCCAAAUUAUAGCAUUCUGCGCUAUACAACAAUGAUUAAUACUGCUAAGAUCCCUGUUGGUUAUUGAUGCCAGUGUAAGUGUAUUGGUAUAAACCACAGUCAUAAAUUGUUGCUACCUAACGAGUUGCCGUUUGUUGUGUGCCAAGUCACAGGGCGGGUGCACAGCAAGGAGAACAAGUGGCGACACAUUACCUAGCAGUGAUUUAUAUGAUUAUACUGAUACUCUCUAGAAGGCUCUCAUACUUUGGUCACAUCAUGAGAAGACAAGACUUAAUGCAAAGUACAUUAAUGCCAGGAAAAAUUGAAGAAAGAGGAAUCAAAGAAUCAUAGAAUAAGGGAACUGGAAGGGGGCUCUAAAGCCCUCAAGUCCACCCCCUGCUCAAUACAGGAAUUCAAGUUAAAGUAUAUUA
ensembl:lncRNA